rnacentral:rRNA from 1 species
UACGGGAGGCAGCAGUGGGGAAUAUUGCACAAUGGGCGCAAGCCUGAUGCAGCCAUGCCGCGUGUAUGAAAAAGGCCUUCGGGUUGUAAAGUACUUUCAGUCGUGAGGAAGGUGUUAAGGUUAAUAACCUUAGCAAUUGACGUUAGCGACAGAAGAAGCACCGGCUAACUCCGUGCCAGCAGCCGCGGUAAUACGGAGGGUGCGAGCGUUAAUCGGAAUUACUGGGCGUAAAGGGCACGCAGGCGGUUAAUUAAGUUGGAUGUGAAAUCCCUGGGCUUAACCUGGGAAUGGCAUUCAAGACUGGUUAGCUAGAGUCUUGUAGAGGGGGUAGAAUUCCAUGUGUAGCGGUGAAAUGCGUAGAGAUGUGGAGGAAUACCGGGUGGCGAAGGCGGCCCCUGGGACAAAGACUGACGCUCAUGUGCGAAAGCGUGGGGAGCAAACAGGAUUAGAUACC